rnacentral:lncRNA from 11 species
UGACAGCUGCAGAGAGCAAUCCCAUUUUUCAUAAGGGGGUUGAGGAAUUGUUGUUUUCGGAAGUCUGGCAUCAUUGCAAAAUAGUGUGAGGAAUCAUAUCUGCACAAUAAAAUCGAGAAUUCACUGGUAUCGAAGAAAACCCAUUGCCACCCCAAGAAACAAGGCUAGGCACUCAUGCCUCCCUAAGAAUCAACCAAUUACUGCUGCAUGUAAAACAGAAAGUGGCACCUACCACC